UACGUAGGGCGCAAGCGUUGUCCGGAAUUAUUGGGCGUAAAGAGCUCGUAGGUGGUUUGUUACGUCUGCUGUGAAAACCUAGGGCUUAACCCUGGGCCUGCAGUGGAUACGGGCAGACUAGAGAUAGGUAGGGGAGACUGGAAUUCCUGGUGUAGCGGUGAAAUGCGCAGAUAUCAGGAGGAACACCGGUGGCGAAGGCGGGUCUCUGGGCCGAUACUGACGCUGAGGAGCGAAAGCGUGGGGAGCGAACAGG
rnacentral:rRNA from 1 species